CUCUCAGGCACAGCAGUGCAAGCGCCAGCUGCGGCCACGUCACUUGCUGGAAUCCUCUCUAAUAGAGAGAUAGAAGCACCGGAAAAACAGUUGUUUAAACUGGGAGGAGUGCUGCUUGGCGCAGAGACGGAGCAGACAACGGUUCGAGGUGGCCCCUCACCUCCCAGGAACUUCGGCGCAGCAAUGGAAAUAGAAGCUGCAGCAACGUCACUCGCUGGAAUCCUCUCUAAGAGAGGGACUGAAGUGCUGGCGAAACAGCUGAUAAAGUUAAUUAAAUUAGGACAGCAAUGGGGUCAUUUUUCUGACACACAUAUGCUGUUUUCUGUCUCGGAAUGGCGAGACUUUGGAGAAACGACGUGGCAUAAAUCAAUCGAGGGGGAUGAAAAAGAGGAGAAGGAGAUAAAAGCCGUCUGCGAGCUGUGGAAUGCUGUGCUAGAGACCUUAACAGCAAUUAAAGCGGAGCGGGAAGUAGCCGGUGCAGCUGCUCAAAUGUUGGGUCCGGGAGCAGCCGCCUUAAAACCUCAAGGCAAGCCUGGAUUUAUUGCGCGGUUCUUCGGACUGCCCACAGUAAAGGCAAUGACCGGGUCCACAUGUAAAACUGUUGCUGAAAUUCGAGCUAAUGAGACCCCUGACUCUCCUGAGGAGGGAAAAGAUUUACCGCUAAACCCCUUGCAAAACUCGGAAAAAGCGGAAGUAAAUGCUGCUAAGUCAAUCCAGAAAAGUAACACACAUGCGGAAGUGCCUGCUGAGAAAACUCCAGCAGAGGAGGGGCCUGAAACACCUACUGAUCUCAUCGAUUUGGGGGGAGCAGCGCCUCAGCCUCCGCCCACGGCACCUCCUCCAGCACCUCCGACUGCCCUGUAUCCACCGCUACCCCCCUUCAGCGAUUCAUCUGGUCCGUCAACUCCGCCUCCCGACAAGAGUCGUAAACUGUCCGCAGACACCACAGAAAAAAAAAUGUUACACACAGUUUCAAGGCGGCUCGAGGAGUUAGACUUACGUGUGGGGAGGAAGGAUGAUAACACACCUUCAUGGCUAGUGAAUCCCUCAACACCUCCAAGAACUACACGCUGGAGUGGCGUUAUUAGAGACGCUAUAUUAGAAGAUCGUGGUCCAGCGUGGGUGCGCAGUAGAGCCAUAAAACCUGCUCUGACUCAACAUGAUCCACCUGACAACCAGGAUGUUCAAGAUCCUAACCCUAGGGAUAUUGAUCCCGGUGGUAAUGACUCUUCACAAAAUUGAGCCCAGAGAAAAUAUGUGGGUUACCUGGGCGAACAAAACAAGACAACAAGCUUUUUGCCUAUUGCUUGCCUCUGCUAUAGAGCUUUUUCAGACAUGUUUGAUAGAAGUAACUGGCUUUAAGGUAGAAGAAUUUAGCAACUAUAGUGUGUACUAUUAGCUCAAAGUCAUGGUUGCGAGGAUUUUGAGGGCAUGUGCUGUAUAAACUUGUCCCAUCACAGCAAAUCAAUU
rnacentral:lncRNA from 1 species